rnacentral:rRNA from 1 species
GCUAAAAAUCUAGCCCUAUUUUUUCAUAUGAUGAUACUCCAACCUAUACCACAAACUAAAACAUUUAUUACACUUUAGUAAAGGCGAUUGAAAAAUUUAUUAGAGCUAUAACAAUAGUACCGCAAGGAAAAGAUGAAAUAAAAAUGAAAUAAAUUUUAAGCAUAAAAAAGCAGAGACUUAUCCUCGUACCUUUUGCAUCAUGAUUUAACUAGUUUAAUCAAGCAAAAAGAACUUCAGUUUGACUUCCCGAAACUAGGCGAGCUACUUCGAGGCAGCCUAUUAGAGCCCACCCGUCUCUGUUGCAAAAGAGUGGGAAGACCCCCAAGUAGCGGUGACAGACCUAACGAGCCUAGUGAUAGCUGGUUUCUUAAGAAAAGGAUUUUAGUCCUACCUAAAGCCCCUUAUAUAUACCUAAAUAAUAUUUAUGCUUUAGCGCUACUCAAAUGAGGUACAGCCCAUUUGAGAUAAGGAUACAACCUAGACCAAUGGGUAACUUUUAACUUUUAUAAAAAAGUGGGCCUAAAAGCAGCCACCUUUAAAACAGCGUCAAAGCUUACUUAUACAAUUUUAUUAAUUCCUUUAUCCCUCAACAACCCUUCAUUCGUAUUAAGUUUCUCUAUAUUUUUAUAGAGGUUAUUAUGUUAAAACUAGUAACAAGAAGAUAGACCUUCUCUUAAAUGUAAGUGCAAAUCAGAAAGGACAAACCACUGAUAACUAACGCCAUGAGUAAAAAACAGUAACUCCACUAGAAAACCCUGUUUUUCCCAACGUUAACCUGACACUAGAACAUUACAAGAAAGAUUAAAAGAAAAAGAAGGAACUCGGCAAACUUUAACCUCGCCUGUUUACCAAAAACAUCGCCUCUUGCCUAAUAUAAGAGGUCCAGCCUGCCCAGUGACUAAGUUCAACGGCCGCGGUAUCCUAACCGUGCGAAGGUAGCGUAAUCACUUGUUCUUUAAAUGAGGACUAGUAUGAAUGGCACCACGAGGGUUAUACUGUCUCCUUUUUCUAAUCAAUGAAACUGAUCUCCCCGUGAAGAAGCGGGGAUACUAAUAUAAGACGAGAAGACCCUAUGGAGCUUUAAACUUUAAUAACACUGAUUUAUACAUUAUCAAAUUUCAGAAUUUUUAAUAAAGAUAUUAAUCAGAGUGUCUAUUAGUUUUAGGUUGGGGUGACCGCGGAGCAAAAAUUAACCUCCACGUUGAACGGAAUCUAUCCUGAGCCGAAAGCUACAACUUUAAGCACCAAUAAAAUGACAAUAAUUGACCCAAAAAUUUGAGCAACGAACCAAGUUACCCUAGGGAUAACAGCGCAAUCCAUUUCAAGAGCCCCUAUCGACAAAUGGGUUUACGACCUCGAUGUUGGAUCAGGGUAUCCCAGUGGUGCAGCCGCUACUAAAGGUUCGUUUGUUCAACGAUUAAAACCCU